rnacentral:pre_miRNA from 1 species
UUGGGCUUUGUUUGGCCAACUAGAUCUAUGAUUCUUGCAAUGGGAGAAGUGCUUGGUUUUGGGUUCAUACCGUGCGGUGACCUUUCCCAGUGACAGAAGGGGCAGCAAGGCACACAUCAUGUUGUUGCCAUCAGGGUAACAAGAUGGGCUUUCAUCAUAGAUUUCAGAUUGUCCAUCUACAUCAUGUCAUC